UCUGAGCGCUCGUGCUGCUCGCCCUCCCGUCGCCGUCCUCGUCUAGUUCUCCUCCUAUCUCACUGGCCGUCGCCGGACGCCAUGGAUGGUGCAUGCUAGUGGGCUAAUUCCCUCAAGCAUCCCCACAAAAUGGAAACAACUCUGCAUCUUCUGAUCCAAAAAUCAAGUCAAAAGUUCAAACUUCGGCCCUGUUCGGCGGACGUCCACUCCCCGCUUUCCAACUCCCAGCUCCAUCCAAAAGCGGAGCACACGGAGCGGCACUUUUGCAACUCUGAAAAAGUGGCCUACAAGCCGCUCCGCUCCACUCUAAGAGAGGCAUGGAGCCAGCGCGUUCGGUGCCACUCUGCAGCUCCUCCAGCCGCUCCAGGAGCUGAGCUGCGGAGCGGAGGCCUGCCGAACAGGCACUUCACCUUGAUUGCAAGAACUAUUUCUGAAGAUAGCUACUCGGUCAUCUAAAAUUUCAACACAGUUUCUCAUUCAAAUUUCAAGGUACAAUCCAAUUUUAUUUUCUUAUAUCAUAAUAAAUGAUAAGCUUAUAACUCAUG